rnacentral:rRNA from 1 species
GAUGAACGCUGGCGGCGUGCCUAAUACAUGCAAGUCGAGCGAAUGGAUUAAGAGCUUGCUCUUAUGAAGUUAGCGGCGGACGGGUGAGUAACACGUGGGUAACCUGCCCAUAAGACUGGGAUAACUCCGGGAAACCGGGGCUAAUACCGGAUAACAUUUUGAACCGCAUGGUUCGAAAUUGAAAGGCGGCUUCGGCUGUCACUUAUGGAUGGACCCGCGUCGCAUUAGCUAGUUGGUGAGGUAACGGCUCACCAAGGCAACGAUGCGUAGCCGACCUGAGAGGGUGAUAGGCCACACGGGGACUGAGACACGGCCCAGACUGCUACGGGAGGAAGCAGUAGGGAAUCUUCCGCAAUGGACGAAAGUCUGACGGAGCAACGCCGCGUGAGUGAUGAAGGCUUUCGGGUCGUAAAACUCUGUUGUUAGGGAAGAACAAGUGCUAGUUGAAUAAGCUGGCACCUUGACGGUACCUAACCAGAAAGCCACGGCUAACUACGUGCCAGCCACCGCAGUAA